ACUAAACACAACAACAACAAUCAGCUGAUUAAAUGAAGCUGUUGCUUAGCAACUGAUCAACAGCCUGAAAACAGUACAAAUUCCUUGAACACAGAUAGAAAACAAAUUGACUGAAGAGGUCUCGUCCAGCAUUGCGGCACUUCAACUCGGUGUCACGGUGUCUCUGACCUGUGGCUUCUUUACACGUCCGACGUUACACAUUCCGUGCGGUAGCGACUGUUUCUGGAGGUUAGAUCAAACGUUUACACUGCUGAGUCAGCGAGCAAACACUCUCGCUCUACUCGGUCGAACCACUCUCAACUCGUCCGAAUCGGUGUUUGACUGCUGCUGCUUGCCAUAUUUAGUCUUGUACCAUGUGCAUCAGUGACCCUCCACCCAGUGCCUCUCCGACUGCCAUGUUGUGAACGGAGCGUGAUCACAUGACCACAUGAUGCAAGCAUACAUCCUGCUAGAAACUCACUCCACCUUUGGUCAUUUAAUUGUUUUCUGGAUGUGAGAAAUUUAUCACUGAUGUGAAGUGUAAUAAAUAAAUAAAUAAAUAAAUAAAUUUAUUAUUACAGACAUCCCUCUGAUAAACUAAUUCAAUCCGAAUAAUGUUUUGCAUUCACACAAGCCACAUUUCAGUUAAGGGUGUACGCGCUAUUUUGGUCUUUACAUGCUGAGCAAGAGUAGGAGUUCAGCAUUAAAAAUGUCCAAAUAUUUCCAUCCACCUUCCGCCGCUAGUUCCUCGAAAACGUCUAGUGACUCUG